UACGUAGGGGGCAAGCGUUGUCCGGAUUUAUUGGGCGUAAAGAGCGUGUAGGCGGUCAGGUAGGUCCGUUGUGAAAACUCGAGGCUCAACCUCGAGACGCCGAUGGAAACCAUCUGACUAGAGUCCGGAAGAGGAGAGUGGAAUUCCUGGUGUAGCGGUGAAAUGCGCAGAUAUCAGGAAGAACACCUGUGGCUAAGGCGGCUCUCUAGUACGGUACUGACGCUGAGACGCGAAAGCGUGGGGAGCGAACAGG
rnacentral:rRNA from 1 species